rnacentral:lncRNA from 1 species
GCAGUGGUUGAGUGCCCCUGAGUUCAAUACCCAGCACCUAAAAAAAUGUCAGUUCUCGGGUGCCUCCCACGGUGCCUGGCAAAAGGCAAGCUCGGCCCAGCUUUUCCUUAGAGAGUGCUGCGGGUCAACACCUUCUCCACCCAUGGAGCAGGGAGCCUGCAGGGAACAGCAGCAGGCCAUGGGCACUGCACUGGGACGCGCUCAGCCCUUGUGGGCCUUGCCCAGGGACCGCUUGGCUUGAGCCUCUGGAAGCUUCCAGGCAUGCGCAGAAGACAGAACCCAGAUGAAAGAGAGGCUGAGCCGAUCUCACUACAUCAAAAUGGAAAAACGCUGGAAAUUGCCAGAAAAAGAAAUGGUUUCCAGGAUGGUUGUCCAGGCUGCCAACCCAGCAACCACAAGGAGGUUUACCUUAAACCACAUUCCAGGUUCAAGAAAGCAGGAAACCUGAGAUUCAGAGAAAGACUUCAAGGCCUGUUUGCUUUCCCGGGAUGUUUUCCUCCGAUCCUGAGCCUCCUGAGUCCCUUGGACACGGCAGGCCAGGCCACACCUCCCAGCUCUACUUCCUCCUGUCCUUAAGGUGCAUUUGUCACUGUCCACCUGUCCAGGCGGCCACCCUCCCAUCCACUCUACCCUCACUGGGCCUCCCUCACUCUGCCCAUGCGUUUCCACUGCACCCCGACUUCUAACGGAGAUAUAAUUUGACACUUCUUGAUUUAUUCCUAUGUGAGCUAUAUCAUUGUUGUUAUUAUUAUUACAUUUAUUGUCUUGAUCGUAGGCUCUGUGAUGACACUGUUUUUGCUGUUGUUGUUUUUGGUUUUAUGAGACAGGGUUUCACUAUGUAGGCCAAGCUAGCCUUGAACUCACAGAUCCUCCUGCCUCAGCCUCCUAAGAUUAUAGGCACGUGUUACCUCACCUCAUCCUGGCAUUAGUUUGUUUUUGUUUUUGUUUUUUGAGGUAGAAUUCCACUAUGUAGUUCAUGUUGGCCUUGAUCUCACUGAAGCCCAGGCUGGGUUUGAGCUCAUGGCAAUCCUCCUGCCUCAGUCUCCUGAGGGCUGGGAUUAUAGGUGUGUGCCACCAUGCUUGGUCUAGCCUGUUUUUUGACUGUUUUAUCCACAGACCCUAAAACAAAGUGACUGUCACACUGUCACAAAGUAGGAACUCAAAUGUGUGAAUGAGUGAGUGAACAUGUAAGCUACCCUAAUGGUUACUUCACUAAACAUACUAGACUUAUGAGGGAAGUAUCAGCCCAUGGACAAAUGCAGUGGUGAUGAAUUUCAUUUGUGGACAUGCAGCCGACAUGCAGGGGCUGCAUGACCAACCAUGACAGGCAUCCGGGCACAGCGCACACGUAGAUACACUG